rnacentral:rRNA from 1 species
UACGGGGGGGGCAAGCGUUGUUCGGAAUUACUGGGCGUAAAGGGCCAGUAGGCGGCCAACUAAGUCCGACGUGAAAUCCCAAGGCUUAACCUUGGAACUGCGUCGGAUACUGGAUGGCUUGAAUUCGGGAGAGGGAUGCAGAAUUCCAGGUGUAGCGGUGAAAUGCGUAGAUAUCAGGAGGAACACCGGUGGCGAAGGCGGAUCUCUGGGCCGAUACUGACGCUGAGGAGCGAAAGCGUGGGGAGCGAACAGG